GUUAUUUUAACAAAUCUAAAAAGGGCGUUGAUUGACAGUGCGUCAACGCAGCUUCAGCCGCUUGCAGCCGUUCAGUCCGUGGAGUAGGCUCGGCUGUGGUGGUGUUCGUCCGUCAGGCAACUUAUCAUAUUUGUUUUAUUUGCUGUUAUUACUCUUAUACAUUGACAGUCAUGUCGUGCUGUGCUGUUGGUUGUACUAACGGGCCAUCCCAGAGAAGCUCUGUGCAGUUUUUUCGUUUUCCUUUAGGUGUGCAGCAUGCAGACAGACUGAGACGAUGGCUGGUGAACAUAACACGACAAGACUGGGAGCCCAGCAAGUCAUCUCAUCUCUGUAGUCUUCAUUUUGAAGACCAUGAAUUCACCAUUGAUACCUAUGGGAAUCGUCUGACUUGCACUGCAGUACCAACUGUGUUCUCCCUUCCUGACCACCUGGUGAAGAGACCUGCUAGUAGAAAGGCAAGUGGUUAUUUUCUUAUCCUUUCUUUGUCAAGUGCUGCAAAUGAUAAGGAAUGUGAAAUGGUGGCUGCUAAUACAUCAGAUCAAAAUGUGGCUUGUCAGUAGUGAGCAGUUACAUUUUUGUCACCCAAGACAUUAAAAUGAAAGAAU